AUGGCUGCUGCAUCUUCUCGUGCCAAGCUCCUCCUGACCUUGGUCUUGCUGCAGGCUCUGUGGGACUCGGCCGCGCCGGCCUGCUCCAUCGACGCCAUCUACAGCUUCGGGGACUCCAUCGCCGACACCGGCAACCUCCUCCGCGAGGGCCCCGUGGGCUUCUUCUCCUCCAUCGGCAGCUACCCCUACGGCCAGACCUACCGGAAGCCCACCGGCCGCUGCUCCGACGGCCUCCUCAUCAUCGACUACUUCGCCAUGGCGCUCGACCUGCCGCUGGUCAACCCGUACCUGGACAAGAGCGCCGACUUCAGCGGCGGCGUCAACUUCGCGGUGGCCGGCGCGACGGCGCUGGACCGCACGUACCUCCUGCAGAACGCCAUCGUGAUGCCGCCGGGGAACACGCCGCUCAGCUCCCAGCUCGACUGGUUCAAAUCGCACCUCAACGACACGUGCCAGCAAGAUUGCGCGAAGAAGCUGGCCGGAGCCUUGUUCUUGGUCGGGGAGAUCGGCGGGAACGACUACAACUACGCCUUCUUUCAGAAGAGGUCCAUCGAGGCCGUCAAGGCGUACGUGCCACUGGUCGUGAAGAGCAUCAUGGACGUCGCAAAGGAGGUGAUCGAGCUGGGAGCGACCCAGAUCAUCAUCCCGGGGAACUUCCCGAUAGGGUGCUCGCCGAGCUACCUCUCCCUCUUCUCCGCCGCCGGCUCCACGGACCACGACGAACGGGGCUGCCUCAAGAGCUACAACGCCUUCGCCGCGUACCACAACGAGCAGCUCCAGGCGGCCAUCGUCGACCUCCGCAAGGUCAACGCCGACGUCUCCGUUGUCUACGCCGACUACUACGGCGCCUUCCUGCACCUCCUCGACCACGCCUCCGUCCUAGGGUUCGACGAGGGGUCGCUGCUGAAGGCCUGCUGCGGCGCCGGCGGGGAGCACAACUUCGACAUGGACAUGAUGUGCGGCGGGCUCGGGGCGAGCACGUGCGCCGACCCGGCACGCCACGUGAGCUGGGACGGCAUCCACCUCACACAGCAGGCCUACAGGGCCAUGGCGCUGUCGAUCCUCAUGGAAGGGUUUGCCCAGCCUGCCGAAAGCGUGCAGGAUAUAUGGAGCUGCUGGUGA
rnacentral:rRNA from 1 species